rnacentral:lncRNA from 1 species
ACAGGAGGAUUUUUGCAGAGCUUCCAUCCAGUUCAGAAACAAAGCAAUUCAAUACAUGUCUUCAAGAUUUCUAAAGGCAAUGACUUAAUUCUAAGUUCCAUGAAAGCAGGCAUUGUGUGAAUUUCUCCUGCAUCUGGAACUGGCCUAGCACACCAAUAGAACCAUGGAGAAUUGCCAAGAUUGCUGACUAGAUGUGGCCAGGAGAAAUAUCUCCCACUGAGAGACUGGGACAUUGGAAAGACUAUAACACACCUCUGAGUAGAUCUUCUGAUGGAAGACAUUAAGAGUGGAUGCAGAGAGGAUGCAGAUGCUGGGCUGAAGAGAGAGGAAGCUGGAAACCCUGCAUAGUGUGGCUGAGCCUCAGGACUUGUACCUGGCCCUCAGAGACUCCUGGGGGAAGGGUGAGUUUACAGGUGAGGAGUGGCCUGCUCUCACCAUGGACCCAUUCUGGUAGGUCCCUCAACCUCUAUGGGCAUCUGAGAUGGUAGGAAAAGCUGCUCAGAGAGGUCAUAUGGGCAGGACUCCAGCCUAUGCAGAGCCCAGAGUGGUGGGAGAACAGCUGCAGUGAAGCACAUCCAGGGACGGCCAUCCUCCAAGGCUCACUGUGCUUCUCCAGGAUACUUUAGCCUCAAUAUGACUGUUAGAGCUAGACAAAGCAGGGCAGUCUUGCUCGUGGGAUGCGGCCUGAUGCCUGAUCUGAUGCUCUGUUACCUGCUGGCCUCUCUUGGGGAGCCAGUCUGGUCGUGCUUGCUUGAAGUGCAGCCUUGGAUACCCAACAGGGGUGCUUCUAGGAACCCUCAUCAUAGCUCCUUCAAUGGCAGACUUAGCUCCUUCAAUGGCAGACUGUGCCUGAUUAUCAGAGAACUCCAGCAGACCAGGCCCCACUUACAUGAACCAGCCCACGCACAGCUUCACCCUAUCACAGCCCUCCCGUAAUGCUUUACUGACAUGCAUUUGCUCAUGGCCAUUCUCCAUCGCUGUGCUUGUAUGAGUCCACCUUGUUGCUUCCCCCUGCCAUUAACAUGCAGGUUCACUCCUGUGCCAGCACUAAUGUGUGCACAGAUGCUGGCAACACUGUUCUCCCCCCAACCCCUGCUACCACCGCCACCAAUGCUGCCGGUGUGAAUGCAUACAUGGACACCAGCAACUCCAUCUCUGCUAGUGUACUGCCCUUGCUGUGCUGUCAUCACUGGCAUAAACAUGUGCAGGAACACCACCUCCCUGCUCCCACAGUUGCUCUGUGCAAGCCAACAUGUGUGCACCUUGCCACAUUGCUGUGGCUGCUGGUAUGCAUGAGCCAGCAUGGAUCCCACUGCCACUACUCCAGUGACAUGCUUUGACCAGCACCCCUCCCCAUCAGAGUGUGGUGGCCAGUGGACAAGAACACCUCAGUCUCUCCAGUGCAGCAGCUUCCUAACCUUGAGGGGCCAGAGAACAAGGCUGGGGGCCCAGUACCAGCCUCCCAGAGUUAAAACAUGCAGCCCAGCAGUGUAGAGCUGAGCCUUGGCUUUCUAAAAUCUUCCAGAAAUAAAUGAAGCCAGUUGACUGAACCCAUCAUAUGCCACAAUCUAACUCCCAGGGCAUCAAAGAAGAUAAAAGCCAAAAUCCCCAUCCAAAGGACAGUAAUAUCAAAGAUGAGAAAGAACCAGUGCAAAAAACUCUGGCAAUUCAAAAAGCCAGAGUGUCUUUUUACCUCCAAACGAUCACUCCAUUUCCUCAGUGGUGGUUCUUAACUAGGCUGAAAAGACAGAAAUGACAGAUAUAGACUUCAGAAUAUGGAUAGGAAAGAUGAUCAAGAUUUGGGAGAAGAUUGAAACCCAAUCCUAGGAAGCUAAGGAAUACAAUAAUGCAAUACAGGAGCUGAAAGAUGAAAUGGCCAUUUUAAGAAAGAACCAAACUGAUGUGAUAGAGUGACAGAGCUGAAAAACUCACUUUGAGAAUUUCACAAUACAAUUGCAAGUAUUAACAGCAGAGUAGACCAUGCUGACGAAGGACUCUCAGAUCUUGAAGACCAGUUCUCCAAAGUUAACUUGGUCAGACAAAAAUAAAGAAAAAAGGAUAUAAAAAGAAUAAACAAAACCUCCAAGAAACAUGAGAUUAUGUAAAGAGAUCAAAUUUCUGAUGCAUUGGCAUCCUUGAAAAUGAGGGAGAGAAAGCACGCAACUUAGAAAACAUAUUUCAAGAUAUUGUCAAUGAAAAAUUCCCCAACCUCGCUAGAGAGUCCAAUAUUCAAAUCCAGGAAAUGAAGAGAACGCCUGCAAGAUAUUAUACAAGAUGAUCAUUCCUAAGACACAGAGUCACCUGAUUCUCUGAGGUUGAAAUGAAAGAAAAAAUGUUAAAGGCAGCUAAAGAGAAGGGACAGGUUGCUUACAAAGGCAACCCCAUCAAGCUAACAGCAGACCUUUCAGCAGAAAUCCUACAAGCCAGAAGAGACUGGGGGCUUAGAUUCAGUAUUUUUAAAGAAAAUAAAAUCCAAAUAAGAAUUUUGUAUUCAGCCAAACUAAGCUUCAUAAGCAAAGGAGAAAUAAGAUCCUUUUCAGAUAAGCAAAUACUGAAAGAAUUACCAUCAGAUAUGCCUUACAUGAGGUUGUGAAGGGAGUACAAAACAUGGAAAGGAAAGAUCAUUAUCAGCAACCACAAAAACACACUUAAGUACAUAGACCAUUGAUACUAUAAAGCAACUACACAUCAAGUAUGUAUAAUACCAGCUAAAAACAUGAUGACAGGAUUAAAUCUGCACUAUCAAUAUUAACCUUAAAUGGCAAUGGGCUAAAUGCAUCAAUUAAAAGGCACAACAUCGCAAGCUGGAUAAAGAAGCAAAAUUCAUUUGUGUGCUGUCUUCAAGAGAUCCAUCUCACAUGAAACAACAUGGAUAGGCUCAAAAUAAAGAGAUAGAGAAAAUCAACCAAGCAAACGAGAAACACACAACCAUAAAAAAGAAUGUAUUCAUGUCCUUUGUGGUGACAUGGUUGGUGCUGGAGGUCAUAAUCCUGAGCAAACUAAUCAGGACAGAAAACCAAAUACUGCAUGUUGUCACUUAUAAGUGGAAGCUAAACACUGAAUACACAUGGACACAAAGAAGAAAAUAACAGACCCUGAGGCCUACUUGAGAAUGGGAGGAGAGUGAGGAUUGAAAAACUAUCUAUUGAGCACUAUGCUUAUUACCUUGGUGAAAAAAUAAUCUGUGCAGCAAAUCCCUGUAACAUGCAAUUUACCUAUAAUAAGCCUGUGCAUGUACCUCUGAACCUAAAAUGAAAGUUACAAAAAGAAAAAAAAAGAAACUAUACAAAAUAUAUUUGUAGGAAAAAUGAGUAAAGUGAAUUCAGUGUUAAACUCUUUGAUGAUUAUUAUUAAAAUUAUGUAAAUCUAUGUAAUUUAAGUAGACAUUUUGCCAAAUGUGGUUUCAGUGAAGACUUUUAAUAUCAUGGUAUUUUUGUUUUCAUCUUACGGGAUCUUUUUGAGUAAUAAAAAUAAUAUUUUCAAACAACUACAAAAAUAUAUUAGUAAACAUUAUAGGAUCUAAACAACACUAUUUGCCAUCUUGAUCUAGUUGGCAUUUGUAGAACAAGAAUCCAACAACUCCAGAAUAUACUUUUCCACCCUAAAUACACAUAGUACAUUCACCAAAAUAGACCAGGAACUUCAGUCAGGAAUGAGAUAGAUGUCAUGACUUGAUGUUUAAGAAGAAUCUAUCACCACCAAAGCAAUCACUUUGCAAAUUGAUAAAACCUAUAUUUACAUUUUGAAAUAUUU